UGCAAGUCGAACGAUGAAGCCCAGCUUGCUGGGUGGAUUAGUGGCGAACGGGUGAGUAACACGUGAGUAACCUGCCCUUAACUCUGGGAUAAGCCUGGGAAACUGGGUCUAAUACCGGAUAGGAGCGUCCACCGCAUGGUGGGUGUUGGAAAGAUUUAUCGGUUUUGGAUGGACUCGCGGCCUAUCAGCUUGUUGGUGAGGUAAUGGCUCACCAAGGCGACGACGGGUAGCCGGCCUGAGAGGGUGACCGGCCACACUGGGACUGAGACACGGCCCAGACUCCUACGGGAGGCAGCAGUGGGGAAUAUUGCACAAUGGGCGAAAGCCUGAUGCAGCGACGCCGCGUGAGGGAUGACGGCCUUCGGGUUGUAAACCUCUUUCAGUAGGGAAGAAGCGAAAGUGACGGUACCURCAGAAGAAGCACCGGCUAACUACGUGCCAGCAGCCGCGGUAAUACGUAGGGUGCGAGCGUUAUCCGGAAUUAUUGGGCGUAAAGAGCUCGUAGGCGGUUUGUCGCGUCUGUCGUGAAAGUCCGGGGCUUAACCCCGGAUCUGCGGUGGGUACGGGCAGACUAGAGUGCAGUAGGGGAGACUGGAAUUCCUGGUGUAGCGGUGGAAUGCGCAGAUAUCAGGAGGAACACCGAUGGCGAAGGCAGGUCUCUGGGCUGUAACUGACGCUGAGGAGCGAAAGCAUGGGGAGCGAACAGGAUUAGAUACCCUGGUAGUCCAUGCCGUAAACGUUGGGCACUA
rnacentral:rRNA from 1 species